CGCGGCCUAUCAGCUUGUUGGUGGGGUAAUGGCCUACCAAGGCGACGACGGGUAGCCGACCUGAGAGGGUGACCGGCCACACUGGGACUGAGACACGGCCCAGACUCCUACGGGAGGCAGCAGUGGGGAAUAUUGCACAAUGGGCGAAAGCCUGAUGCAGCGACGCCGCGUGAGGGAUGAAGGCCUUCGGGUUGUAAACCUCUUUCAGCAGGGACGAAGCGCAAGUGACGGUACCUGCAGAAGAAGCACCGGCUAACUACGUGCCAGCAGCCGCGGUAAUACGUAGGGUGCGAGCGUUGUCCGGAAUUACUGGGCGUAAAGAGUUCGUAGGCGGUUUGUCGCGUCGUUUGUGAAAACCCGGGGCUCAACUUCGGGCUUGCAGGCGAUACGGGCAGACUUGAGUGUUUCAGGGGAGACUGGAAUUCCUGGUGUAGCGGUGAAAUGCGCAGAUAUCAGGAGGAACACCGGUGGCGAAGGCGGGUCUCUGGGAAACAACUGACGCUGAGGAACGAAAGCGUGGGUAGCAAACAGGAUUAGAUACCCUGGUAGUCCACGCCGUAAACGGUGGGCGCUAGGUGUGGGUUCCUUCCACGGAAUCUGUGCCGUAGCUAACGCAUUAAGCGCCCCGCCUGGGGAGUACGG
rnacentral:rRNA from 1 species